rnacentral:rRNA from 1 species
UACGGAGGAUCCAAGCGUUAUCCGGAUUUAUUGGGUUUAAAGGGUGCGUAGGCGGCCUGUUAAGUCAGGGGUGAAAUUUUCCAGCUCAACUGGAAGCUUGCCUUUGAUACUGACGGGCUUGAAUGCAGCUGAGGUAGGCGGAAUGUGACAAGUAGCGGUGAAAUGCAUAGAUAUGUCACAGAACACCAAUUGCGAAGGCAGCUUACUAAAGUGUGAUUGACGCUGAGGCACGAAAGCGUGGGGAUCAAACAGG